GGGUGAGUAACACGUGGGUGAUCUGCCCUGCACUCUGGGAUAAGCCUGGGAAACUGGGUCUAAUACCGGAUAGGACCAUGCUUUAGUGUGUGUGGUGGAAAGUUUUUCGGUGUAGGAUGAGCCCGCGGCCUAUCAGCUUGUUGGUGGGGUAAUGGCCUACCAAGGCGGCGACGGGUAGCCGGACUGAGAGGGUUGGUCGGCCACAUUGGGACUGAGAUACGGCCCAG
rnacentral:rRNA from 1 species